UACAGAGGUCCCAAGCGUUGUUCGGAUUCACUGGGCGUAAAGGGUGCGUAGGUGGUUGGGUGAGUCUGAUGUGAAAUCUCCGAGCUUAACUCGGAAACUGCAUCGGAUACUAUCCGGCUUGAGGAAUGGAGGGGAGAUUGGAAUUCUCGGUGUAGCAGUGAAAUGCGUAGAUAUCCGAAGGAACAUCAGUGGCGAAAGCGGCUUCCUGGACCAGAACUGACGAUCAGGCACGAAAGCGUGGGGAGCAAACAGG
rnacentral:rRNA from 1 species